AAUAAGGAAGAAAGACUCGUGGCCCUGACUAAGCCACCCAACAAUAGAAAGAAUGGCUGAGAAAGAGUCAGCGUCACCACAGCUCAUGGUUCCCAUUCUUCUCCUGGUUGGAUGGAUUGUAGGCUGCAUUAUAGUGGUUUACAUUGUCUUCUUCUAGAAAAGCAAGAAGACUUCAAACUGACACCAUUUAGAAGAAUUAAAAAAAAAUCAGGAACACGACUGAUCAUUAAAGGUGUCUUGUAUUAAA
rnacentral:lncRNA from 1 species